rnacentral:tRNA from 1 species
CAUCGAUAGCUUAAAUUAGAGCAUAACACUGAAGAUGUUAAGGUAACAAUAUUGUUUCUAAGCAC